UCUAGACGGCCUUAAAGGGUGAAAAAACCUGUCUUCGUAGUUGCCAGUGAUGAUGGAGCAGUGUCUCACCGAUGGAGGAGUCGUGGGAUGGCUCGUAAACGUGCGGGCGCCAGGGACGCUUUGGAGGGACUAGGAAGAUGAAAUCAAAAGGAAAAAAGGAGAAAGAUCCCCCCUGCAAAUCCAGAUCCCCCCUGCAAAUCCAUGCACUGGUUCAUCUGCUCGGCUGCUGCUGCUUGACGGAGGUUCAAAGCAGAAGUAACUUCCUAGCGAAGAACCAUGGAAACUCAUCAGCUGCAGAGACGAGCAGACGGCCCAAAGAGCAGAAGAGCGAG